ACCCGCUGAACUUAAGCAUAUCACUAAGCGGAGGAAAAGAAAUCAACAGAGAUUGCCUCAGUAACGGCGAGUGAAGCGGCAAAAGCUCAAAAUGAAAAUCGGCAUCCUUUCGGCUGUCGAGUUGUAUCCUAAAGAGGUGAGUCGAUCUAUUGUCUUCUGGGAUAAGUUCUUAGGAAUUUGACACCAAAGAGGGUGACAGUCCCGCACAUGCCCAGGAGAUGUUGGUAGACGAACUUUCGAAGAGUCGGGUUGUUUAGAAUUGCAGCCCUAAAUGGGAGAUAUGCUUCUCCUAAGGCUAAAUAUCGAUGGGAGACCGAUAGCGAACAAGUACUGUGAAGGAAAGAUGAAAAGAACUUUGAAAAAAGAGUUAAUAGAUUUGAAGUCGUUGAGAAGGAAGCGGUAAAAAUAAAUUAUUUGGAGGUGACGUGUUAGUUGAGGGCGUAGCUUUGUCCGGAAGAGUACGUUAAAGGCUUUUCUGGAAGAUAGCUGCGACUGAGAUUGACAUUUUAUCUUCGAAAGGCAGUAUGAAGUGAGUGUCGUCGGAAUCACCUCUUGAGAAGAUCUGUGCUUGCAUAGAGGCUCAGGGGGAAAGCGAAGACCUCGCUUGAGGGUGCCACAGCUUGUAAGAGUUUGGUGAUACUGCCAAAAUGGUUUUUACUGACCCGUCUUGAAACACGGACCAAGGAGUCUAACAUAUAUGCGAGUAUGCUAGUGGAAAAACUGAUAUGCAUAAUGAAAGUGAGAUAGAUGUGAUGGGGGCAACCUCUGCAACAUCCUCCGACCAUGAUCUUCUGAGAAAGGUUUGAGUAAGAGCAUAUCUGUUAGGACCCGAAAGAUGGUGAACUAUGCUUGAGUAGGGUGAAGUCAGGGGAAACUCUGAUGGAAGCUCGUAGCGAUACUGACGUGCAAAUCGUUCGUCGAACUUGAGUAUAGGGGCGAAAGACUAAUCGAACCAUCUAGUAGCUGGUUCCCUCCGAAGUUUCCCUCAGGAUAGCUGGGACAACUAACGCAGUUUUAUCAGGUAAAGCGAAUGAUUAGAGGCAUCAGAGAUGAAACAUCUUUGACCUAUUCUCAAACUUUAAAUUGGUAAGAACUGAAGGUUUUCUUCACUUUGUUUGAACCUUCAGGUGGAAUGCGUGUCCUUAGUGGGCCAUUUUUGGUAAGCAGAACUGGCGAUGAGGGAUGAACCUAACGUUGGGUUAAGGUGCCCAAGUGUACGCUCAUCAGACACCACAAAAGGUGUUGAUUCAUAUAAACAGCAGGACAGUGGUCAUGGAAGUCGAAAUCUGCCAAGGAGUGUGUAACAACUCACCUGCCGAAUGAAUUAGCCCUGAAAAUGGAUGGCGCUUAAGCGUAUGACCGAUACCCAACCAUCAAUGCAAAAGUUCAGCAUUGAUGAGUAGGAGGGCGUGAACAUCAUGCAGAAGCUUCUGGUGUAAACCUGAGUGAAAUGGUGUUUAGUGCGGAUCUUGGUGGUAGUAGCAAAUAUUCAAAUGAGAACUUUGAAGACUGAAGUGGAGAAGGUUUCCAUGAGAAGAGCAUUUCGUCAUGGGUUAUUCGGUCCUAAGCCACAGGGAAAUUCCUUGAUAAAUGAGAGCUUGUCUCUCGCAGGCGAAAGGGGAUGAGGUUAAUAUUCCUCAAAUUGCACGUGGAUAUUGUAUGGUAACAUAAGCGAACUCGGAGACGCCAGCUGAUACCCCCGGAAGAGUUAUCUUUUCUUUUUAACUGACUGUGACCCUGAAAUCAGAUUACCUGGAGAUAGGGUUCUAUGUCAGGCAAAGCAUUUCACUAUUCGAAAUGUCGGGAACGUAUGAGAUGGUCCUUGAAAAUCUGAGUAAGAGAUUUAUUGUCACUGCAAGCCGUACCCAUAACCGCAUCAGGUCUCCAAGGUU
rnacentral:rRNA from 1 species